AGGGUGAGUAAUGCAUUGAUAACCUACCUUUGAGAUGGGAACAACAACGUUCCAAGUAAUUGGGGCUACCGAAAGGGUUGCUAAUUCUCAAUAAAAAUGCUGACACUUUGGUGUCGGCAGUCAAAGAAAUGGAUCUGAAAAGGUCCAUUUGCUCAGAGAGGGGUCAAUGUCCUAUCAGCUAGUUGGUAGGGUAAUGGCCUACCAAGGCGAGGACGGGUAGCCGGCCUGAGAGGGUGGUCGGCCACACUGGGACUGAGACACUGCCCAGACUCCUACGGGAGGCUGCAGUCGAGAAUCUUUCGCAAUGCCCGAAAGGGUGACGAGGCGACGCCGCGUGUGGGAUGAAGGCCUUCGGGUUGUAAACCACUGUCGGGAGUUAAGAAUUGUAGGAAUGCUAAUAGUAUUUCUACUUGACUAAGGCUCCGGAGGAAGCCACGGCUAACUCUGUGCCAGCAGCCGCGGUAAUACAGAGGCGGCAAGCGUUGUUCGGAAUUAUUGGGCGUAAAGAGCAUGUAGGCGGCUAUGUAAGUCGGUUGUGAAAGCCUUCCGCUUAACGGAAGAAUGGCGGUCGAAACUGCAUGGCUUGAGUGCGGGAGGGGAGAGUGGAACUUCUGGUGGAGCGGUGAAAUGCGUAGAUAUCAGAAGGAACGUCGGCGGCGAAAGCGACUCUCUAGACCGUAACUGACGCUGAGUGUGCGAA
rnacentral:rRNA from 1 species